rnacentral:rRNA from 1 species
GAUGAACGCUGGCGGCGUGCCUAAUACAUGCCAGUCGAGCGAACAGAUGAGGAGCUUGCUCCUCUGACGUUAGCGGCGGACGGGUGAGUAACACGUGGAUAACCUACCUAUAAGACUGGGAUAACUUCGGGAAAUCGGAGCUAAUACCGGAUAAUAUAUUGAACCGCAUGGUUCAAUAGUGAAAGACGGUUUUGCUGUCACUUAUAGAUGGAUCCGCGCCGCAUUAGCUAGUUGGUAAGGUAACGGCUUACCAAGGCAACGAUGCGUAGCCGACCUGAGAGGGUGAUCGGCCACACUGGAACUGAGACACGGUCCAGACUCCUACGGGAGGCAGCAGUAGGGAAUCUUCCGCAAUGGGCGAAAGCCUGACGGAGCAACGCCGCGUGAGUGAUGAAGGUCUUCGGAUCGUAAAACUCUGUUAUUAGGGAAGAACAAAUGUGUAAGUAACUAUGCACGUCUUGACGGUACCUAAUCAGAAAGCCACGGCUAACUACGUG